rnacentral:rRNA from 1 species
GAUGAACGCUGGCGGCGUGCCUAAUACAUGCAAGUCGAGCGAACGGACGAGAAGCUUGCUUCUCUGAUGUUAGCGGCGGACGGGUGAGUAACACGUGGAUAACCUACCUAUAAGACUGGGAUAACUUCGGGAAACCGGAGCUAAUACCGGAUAAUAUUUUGAACCGCAUGGUUCAAAAGUGAAAGACGGUCUUGCUGUCACUUAUAGAUGGAUCCGCGCUGCAUUAGCUAGUUGGUAAGGUAACGGCUUACCAAGGCAACGAUGCAUAGCCGACCUGAGAGGCAGAUCGGCCACACUGGACCUGAGACACGGUCCAGACUCCUACGGGAGGCAGCAGUAGGGAAUCUCCCGCAAUGGGCGAAAGCCGGACGAAGCAACGCCGCGGGAGGGAUAAAGGUCUUCGGAUCGUAAAACUCUGUUAUUAGAGAAGAACAAAUGUGUAAGUAACUGUGCACAUCUGGACGGUACCUAAUCAGAAAGCCACGGCUAACUACGU